UGGGGAAUAUUGGACAAUGGGCGCAAGCCUGAUCCAGCCAUGCCGCGUGGAUGAUGAAGGCCCUAGGGUUGUAAAGUCCUUUCGGCGGGGAAGAUAAUGACGGUACCCGCAGAAGAAGCCCCGGCUAACUUCGUGCCAGCAGCCGCGGUAAUACGAAGGGGGCUAGCGUUGCUCGGAAUCACUGGGCGUAAAGCGCACGUAGGCGGACUCUUAAGUCGGUGGUGAAAUCCUGGAGCUCAACUCCAGAACUGCCUUCGAUACUGAGAGUCUCGAGUCCGGGAGAGGUGAGUGGAACUGCGAGUGUAGAGGUGAAAUUCGUAGAUAUUCGCAAGAACACCAGUGGCGAAGGCGGCUCACUGGCCCGGUACUGACGCUGAGGUGCGAAAGCGUGGGGAGCAAACAGG
rnacentral:rRNA from 3 species